rnacentral:rRNA from 1 species
GUGGUUAUAGCAUUGGGGCUCACCUCUUCCCAUUCCGAACAGAGAAGUUAAGCCCAAUAGCGCCGAUGGUACUGCAUUUAUGUGGGAGAGUAGGUCGCUGCCUU